CCUACGGGAGGCAGCAGUUGGGAAUUUUGCGCAAUGGACGAAAGUCUGACGCAGCGACGCCGCGUGGAGGAUGAAGGUUUUCGGAUCGUAAACUCCUUUUGAUGGGGAGUAAUUUGUGAAAGUACCCAUCGAAUAAGCACCGGCUAACUCCGUGCCAGCAGCCGCGGUAAUACGGAGGGUGCAAACGUUGUCCGGAAUCACUGGGCGUAAAGCGCAUGUAGGUGGCUUUGUAAGUCAUGAAUGAAAGACCGACGCCUAACGUCGGAACCGUUCUUGAUACUGCAUCGCUAGAGAAUGGCAGGGGUAUGCGGAACUUUGAGUGUAGGAGUGAAAUCCGUAGAUAUUCAAAGGAACACCAAUGGCGAAGGCAGCAUACUGGGCUUUUUACUGACACUGAGAUGCGAAAGCGUGGGGAGCGAACGGGAUUAGAUACCCCGGUAGUCCACGCCGUAAACGAUGCCGACUAGCUCUUGGGUAGGUAGUCGUACCCCGUUUACGGUAGCGAGACUACGACGUUACGUACGGUCCGCCGUCGGGUAGGUACGAGCGCAGACUUAAACCUACAAGGAAGUAGACGGCGUGAGACGUGCCGACGGACGACGACGAGGGAGGUAGG
rnacentral:rRNA from 1 species